rnacentral:rRNA from 1 species
UACGUAGGGGGCAAGCGUUGUCCGGAUUUAUUGGGCGUAAAGAGCGUGUAGGCGGCCAUACAGGUCCGUUGUGAAAACUGGAGGCUUAACCUCCAGACGUCGAUGGAAACCGUAUGGCUAGAGUCCGGAAGAGGAGAUUGGAAUUCCUGGUGUAGCGGUGAAAUGCGCAGAUAUCAGGAGGAACACCAACAGCGAAGGCAGAUCUCUGGGACGUAACUGACGCUGAGACGCGAAAGCGUGGGGAGCAAACAGG